AAACCAACAGGGAUUGCCUUAGUAACGGCGAGUGAAGCGGCAAGAGCUCAAAUUUGAAAUCUAGCACUUUCAGUGUUCGAGUUGUAAUUUGAAGAAGGUAUCUUUGGAGUUGGCCCCUGUCUAUGUUCCUUGGAACAGGACGUCACAGAGGGUGAGAAUCCCGUGCGAUGGGGAGACCAAUUCUUUGUAAAGUUCCUUCGAAGAGUCGAGUUGUUUGGGAAUGCAGCUCUAAGUGGGUGGUAAAUUCCAUCUAAAGCUAAAUAUUGGCGAGAGACCGAUAGCGAACAAGUACAGUGAUGGAAAGAUGAAAAGAACUUUGAAAAGAGAGUGAAAAAGUACGUGAAAUUGUUGAAAGGGAAGGGCUUUUGAUCAGACUUGGUGUUUAACGAUCUCUUCUCCUUGUGGGAGGGGCUCUUGUUUUAUACUGGGCCAGCAUCGGUUUGGAUGGCAGGAUAAUGACAUUGGAACGUGGCUUCAUUCGUGAAGUGUUAUAGCCUUUGUUGAUACUGCCUAUCU
rnacentral:rRNA from 1 species